rnacentral:miRNA from 14 species
CCUCGUAACUUGGUCACCAUAUC